GACGAACGCUGGCGGCGUGCCUAAUACAUGCAAGUCGAGCGGAAAUUUUAUUGGUGCUUGCGCCUUUGAAAUUUUAGCGGCGGACGGGUGAGUAACACGUGGGUAACCUGCCUUAUAGAUUGGGAUAACUCCGGGAAACCGGGGCUAAUACCGAAUAAUACUUUUAAACACAUGUUUUGAAGUUGAAAGACGGUUUCGGCUGUCGCUAUAAGAUGGACCCGCGGCGCAUUAGCUAGUUGGUGAGGUAACGGCUCACCACGGCAACGAUGCGUAGACGACCUGAGAGUGUGAUCGGCCACACUGGGACUGAGAAACGGCCCAGACUCCUACGGGAGGCAGCAGUAGGGAAUCUUCCACAAUGGACGAAAGUCUGAUGGAGCAACGCCGCGUGAGUGAAGAAGGAUUUCGGUUCGUAAAACUCUGUUGCAAGGGAAGAACAAGUAGCGUAGUAACUGGCGCUACCUUGACGGUACCUUGUUAGAAAGCCACGGCUAACUACGUGCCAGCCGCCGCAGUAA
rnacentral:rRNA from 1 species